rnacentral:rRNA from 1 species
AUGGACCAUUCCAUCCCUUUUUCCCGUGCAUAUGCAUCGGACUCGGAUGACGAUGGUCCCGAUGAACAAGUUGAUGCUGCGGAGGGGUUCACGGUGAAGGAGGCCGAAGCUUUCGAGAAGGUAUUUGGUCGGGAUCAUCGGACUACAUUGUUCAAGGAUGUUAGUCUCGCGGAUGAAGUCGUGGUAGAUGGUGGCCAAUGUGUACCUCUUGGGGUUAGGCCAAGCUCUCAC